GUUGUGUGUUGAAAUGGAUUUCUGAAC
rnacentral:piRNA from 1 species